CGAGCGGACUCGAGGACCGCACUCACCGGAACCGGCAGGCCGCAGCCGCCCCGCCACCCCGCGCGCCGCUGCUCGCUCCAAGACCACUUUCUGCGCUCGCCGCCGCCGACCGGCCGCUCCGCUGCUGGAGGCUGAUUGUCAAAAGUCGGUCGGAGCGGAGCCACCGGGAAACAGCUGCAGGAAGUGACUGCGGAACCGGGAGGCGGCGGCGGCGGCAGAGGAGGAGGAGGAGGCAGGGCUCCCGGCAGCGCUACUGCGCAUGUGCACGGACAAGCGGCUGCUCCCGCAGACCCGGGACGCCGAGCAGGAAUGCAAGGCUAUGACUGGAGCAUGCGCCAACAACCAGGUACGGGCGGGCUUCGCGAAUUCGAGGACUGUUCAGCAGACUAGGCCAGUGUGCACCCGCCAUCGGGAAGAGUUCCACUGCACAGAUGAGUUCAGUGCACGUGAUGUAUAUGUGAAAAUACCAAAUGGCUUCAUUGUUUUAAAAGCAGCGGGGUAGAAACGCAUUUCUCAGCCCUUUGUCAGAACUUUGCCAUUCACUCUUGUUAGCUGGGACCAUGCUGGGCCCUGGCUGACCUUUCCCAUCUGACAACCCUCAUCCUCGUUUUCACCCACAUGUCCCGUCUUAUAAAAUGGCUGGCAAAGGCAACGGAAGAAAAUUAAUUUUGGCUCGCGUUUGAGGGUACAGUCCAUCACGGCAGGGAAGCCAUGAGAGCAAAAGUGGGGCAGCUGGUCACAAAUGCCCAUAGUCAGGAAACCGGGAGGAGCUGCUCGGUUGCUUUCCAUCCACGAAGCCGCCCACACUCAGGGUGAGUCUUCCCUCCUCGGUUUCUAAUCCAGAAACACUCCUAUUGACAGUCUGUACUAUCCAUCACAGGCCCAUAGUCUAGCGUUACCUCUGUGAUCUUACACAGCCUGUCCUUGGUGUUAAAUGCCUUUCUCCCUGUCCAUCCUUGCCCCCUGCAGCCUCUCCUACAAGCAACUUCCAUGGCCUCUCGGGCCGCUGCAUGAUAACAAUCUCCAUUCCUCACAUCGGACUUUAUUACAUAUACUACUACCUUAAACUCCCUGAGUGCAGAAAGAGACAGGUCUUGGAGUCUUCCGUUUAUAUUUUAUAGUUUUAUGUGUAUUUGCAUGUUGGAAUAAAAUCUAAAAGCUGAAAGUAGGGGCCUUACCC
rnacentral:lncRNA from 1 species